rnacentral:misc_RNA from 1 species
ACCAGCUGUUAUUGUGGGAAACAGGUAAAUAUCUAAGAAUAAGCAGUGGUUUUUUUGUUGUUUCUUUUGUUUAUUUGUGAUAAUUCCCUAAAUUAUGCAGUACUUCUGUUUUAACUUUCAGUCUUUAGGAAUCUUUUUUUAACAUGCUCAUAAAGAGAGGCAAUUAAGAUACUUGAAAUUAUUGUGUGUAGUCUGAUCUCUCUUUUUGCAUUAGUAUGAAGAAAUUCAAGUGAUUUUAAGUUUUCCUCUCUAGAAUUCAUGUUUUCCUUUUGAGUGCUGAUAUUAUUUGAACGCUAUAACAAUAACCAAGAAAAUUGUUACCAUCACACAAUUUUCCUCCAUCCUCUAAUUCACUUUUAAGGCUUUCUGAAAUGUUCUUGUGCCCCUUUUACUUUAAUAAAUUAUAAGCAUUACAGUCCUUGGCCCAUUAUUCUUAGAGGUGGCCCAUUCAAAUCAUGCUGUAUCUGAAUAACAUGCUCUUGUGUGCAUAGUUAUUAAAGGCUCAAGG